rnacentral:tRNA from 1 species
GGAGCUGUGGCUUAGUGGGUAAAGCUGUUGCUUGCAGUGUGACAUUCAUAUGGCUGCUGGUUUAAGUCCCAGCUGCUCUG